rnacentral:rRNA from 1 species
UACGUAGGGGGCAAGCGUUGUCCGGAUUUAUUGGGCGUAAAGAGCGUGUAGGCGGUCAGGUAGGUCCGUUGUGAAAACUCGAGGCUCAACCUCGAGACGCCGAUGGAAACCAUCUGACUAGAGUCCGGAAGAGGAGAGUGGAAUUCCUGGUGUAGCGGUGAAAUGCGCAGAUAUCAGGAGGAACACCGGUGGCGAAGGCGGGUCUCUGGGAAGUAACUGACGCUGAGAAGCGAAAGCAUGGGUAGCAAACAGG